rnacentral:rRNA from 1 species
CCUACGGGUGGCAGCAGUGAGGAAUAUUGGUCAAUGGGCGCGAGCCUGAACCAGCCAAGUCGCGUGAGGGAUGAAGGUUCUAUGGAUCGUAAACCUCUUUUAUAAGGGAAUAAAGUGUGGGACGUGUCCUAUUUUGUAUGUACCUUAUGAAUAAGGAUCGGCUAACUCCGUGCCAGCAGCCGCGGUAAUACGGAGGAUCCGAGCGUUAUCCGGAUUUAUUGGGUUUAAAGGGUGCGUAGGCGGCCUUUUAAGUCAGCGGUGAAAUUGAGAGGCUCAACCUCUUCGAGCCGUUGAAACUGGUUUUCUUGAGUGAGUGAGAAGUAUGCGGAAUGCGUGGUGUAGCGGUGAAAUGCAUAGAUAUCACGCAGAACUCCGAUUGCGAAGGCAGCAUACCGGCGCUCAACUGACGCUCAUGCACGAAAGUGUGGGUAUCGAACAGGAUUAGAUACCCUGGUAGUC